GCUUUUCGUCAGCAUUCUUGAACGGAGUGCCCUGGAGUUGCCAAGGUGAUCUGGAGUUCUCCCAAAUACUCUUUAAUGAACAUAUAUCACUUACUCAUUCAAGACCUAUCUACUGUGUCCCUACUGCACACUAAGGAUUAUGCUAGAGGCUAUGGAUAUAGGGGAGAGCAAGACAAUCCCUAUCCUCAAGGAGCUUAUUGUCUGGUGGGAAGGUUGACCAUUCACUAGGCAAUUACAACACAAUGAGAUAAGCACCAGGAUGGAAGAUGUACCGGGUAUUACAGAAGCAGUGGCCCAUCAAUCAACUCAGCUCACAGGAAGCCAAAUUUUCAGCUCACAAUUAAACUGGAAGUCAACCAAAGAGCUCAUCAUGGAAUGAAUUUAUGACUUUCAUAUGGGUCCAGCAAAAAAAUAAAAAAAUAAAAAAGCAGCACAGAUAAAGAGCUGAGUUAAUUACAGUUCUAUAGAGACAGAACUCACUGCUACCUACAGCGGCAGCUUCUCACCUUCAUUCUGGCUUUGCAGCCACCAGCCUCAGCAGAUCCCAUAGUUUUCUAAAUGGGAGUGUGUGAACUGAAAGAAAAAGGGGCCACAGGGACUGAUGUAACUAUGAGCUGCUGAAUUCAUGGUGCUACUUUGGAAAUUAAGACUGUACUAUACAGUGCAAGGCAAAGAAAGCACGUGAAGAAGCCUGAUUAAAAACAUUAAGAAUUGUAAGGAUUUGUUUAGAAGAAUCUCUGGUUGCCUCGUCUUCCAAUAAAUAUUGCAUAAUUCACCUUUGGUUGGUUUGAAAGCAGGUCAUAACUGAACCUCCCUAAGAAAAGGGGCCACCUGUGUGGAAUUGCCCCUGAAGCUGGCAGUGGUGGGGGUGUGAAUAAGCCAGUUGUUCUGGCAGUGGACUUGUGAAGCUUAAAAAUGAAGAAGUGAGAAGCACUGAAAAGGCACUCUGGGGUUGCUGGGCAGACGUUUUGAAACUCCGGCUUUAGAACGAAUUACUCAGGAAGCCUGAGAGAAGUGACAAUUCUCAGCCUACCCCUAGAAACUGUGAUUGAGUAGAUCCGCGGAGGGGCCUAUGGAUCUGCACUCCAACUACAGCCCAGAAGUUUUCCCUGAAAAAUUUUCCCCAAAGGCGAGGAGAAACUUGCAGUGAGGAUCACCACAGAAGAAGCUGAGAAAAUUACCAUCUUAAUGAGCCCUGCAAUAAUGCAAUCAGAGGGUGAUGAGGAAAACUGGGAGAAGGAUAGGGUGCUAUGGGAGCUCCCGGGGGAAAGAUCAACCUGCCCCGACUGAGCUGAAGAAGAAGCUGUUCAAACGCCGGCAGGUGCUGAAUCGGGAGCGGCGUCUGAGGCACCGGUGGUCGGGGCUGUGAUAGACCAAGGGCUGAUCACGCGGCACCACCUCAAGAAGCGGGCGUCCAGUGCACGUGCCAACAUUACUCUGUCAGGGAAGAAGCGCAGAAAACUCCUCCAGCAGAUCCAGCUUGCCCAGAAUGAGAAGGCAGCCAUGGAAGUGGAAGCCCCUUCAAAGCCAGCCAGGACUAGUGAACCACAGCUCAAAAGGCAAAAGAAGACAAAAGCUCCCCAGGAUGUAGAAAUGAAGGACCUUGAAGAUGAGAGCUAAACCUCUUCCAGAAGAAGAUUCUCAACUGGAGCCAGCCUUCAGACUCAGUGGUUGUUUUAGAGGAUUUUGACAAAAGCAUUGCCCCUUUUCACCCUCCAGAUUUCCUCCUACCUAAUGGCCUACUGACUUCCCCUAGAGGGAUGUCUUUGGGAGGGAAGAAGGUACAGAAGAAAGAUUGGAGAAGGGCCUCUCUAGCAGUCAACUCCAUUUGUAAUAAAGCCCUAGCACUCUGAAAAAAAAAAAAAAA